UGAGGAAUAUUGGUCAAUGGCCGGAAGGCUGAACCAGCCAAGUCGCGUGAGGGAAGACGGCCCUACGGGUUGUAAACCUCUUUUGUCAGGGAGCAAACCUCUCCACGCGUGGGGAGUCGAGAGUACCUGAAGAAAAAGCAUCGGCUAACUCCGUGCCAGCAGCCGCGGUAAUACGGAGGAUGCGAGCGUUAUCCGGAUUUAUUGGGUUUAAAGGGUGCGCAGGCGGGAAGCCAAGUCAGCGGUAAAAAUUCGGGGCUCAACCCCGUCCGGCCGUUGAAACUGGUUUUCUUGAGUGGGCGAGAAGUGUGCGGAAUGCGUGGUGUAGCGGUGAAAUGCAUAGAUAUCACGCAGAACUCCGAUUGCGAAGGCAGCACACCGGCGCCCUACUGACGCUCAUGCACGAAAGCGUGGGUAUCGAACAGG
rnacentral:rRNA from 1 species